UACAGGGGGGGCAAGCGUUGUUCGGAAUUACUGGGCGUAAAGGGUUUGUAGGUGGCUUGUUAAGUCAGACGUGAAAUCCCUCAGCUUAACUGGGGAACUGCGUCUGAUACUGGUGAGCUUGAGUGCAGGAGAGGAACGCGGAAUUCCAGGUGUAGCGGUGAAAUGCGUAGAGAUCGGGAGGAACACCCGUAGCGAAGGCGGCCGACUGGACCACACCUGACGCUGAGGCGCGAAGGCCAGGGGAGCGAACGGG
rnacentral:rRNA from 1 species